GAUGAACGCUAGCGGCAGGCCUAAUACAUGCAAGUCGAACGGUGUCUUCGGACAUAGUGGCGCACGGGUGCGUAACACGUAUGCAACCUACCUUACAUUGGGGGAUAGCCUUUCGAAAGGGAGAUUAAUACCGCAUAAGACGGUAGCUGGGCAUCCAACAGCUGUUAAAGAUUUAUCGAUGUAAGCUGGGCAUGCGUCCAAUUAGCUAGUUGGUGAGGUAACGGCUCACCAAGGCAAUGAUUGGUAGGGGAAUUGAGAGGUCAAUCCCCCACACUGGCACUGAGAUACGGGCCAGACUCCUACGGGAGGCAGCAGUAGUGAAUAUUGGGCAAUGGACGCAGGUCUGACCCAGCCAUGCCGCGUGCAGGAUGUAGGCGUUAUGCGUUGUAAACUGCUUUUAUACAGGAAGAAACGACUCUUGCGAGAGGCAUUGACGGUACUGUAUGAAUAAGCACCGGCUAACUCCGUGCCAGCAGCCGCCGUAAAAC
rnacentral:rRNA from 1 species